CCUUGUACACACCGCCCGUCAAGUCAUGGAAGCUGGGAGUGCCCGAAGUCCGCUUAGCUAACCCGCAAGGGGGGCGGCGGCCGACGGUAAGCCUGGUGACUGGGACU
rnacentral:rRNA from 1 species